rnacentral:rRNA from 1 species
AACGAACGCUGGCGGCAUGCCUAACACAUGCAAGUCGAACGAACCCUUCAGGUCUUUUGGCGCACGGGUUCGUCACGCGUGGGAACCUGCCCUUAGGGUCGGCCUAACUCUCCGACAGGGAUGCUAUUGCCGAAUCAUGUCUUCUGCCCGAAGAUUUAUUGCACUUGUAUGGUCCGGCGUUGAAUUAGCUAGUUAGUACGGUAAAAGCCUACCCCGGCGACGAUCCAUAGCUGGUCUGAGAGAAUGAUCAGCCACACUGGGACUGAGACCCGGCCCAGACUCCUACGGGAGGCAGCAGUGGGGGAUAUUGCAAAACGGGCGAAAUCAUGAACCAGCAAUGCCGGGUGAGUGAUGAAGGUAUGAGGGUUGUAAAGUGCUUUUACCCGGGAUGAUAAUGACAGUACCGGGAGAAUAAGCCCCGGCUAACUCCGUG